AGACAAGGUUAGAAUCAGGGGGUGCUUUACAUCUACAGAGACAAGGUUAGAAUCAGGGGGUGCUUUACAUCUACAGAGACAAGGUUAGAAUCAGGGGGUGCUUUACAUCUACAGAGACAAGGUUAGAAUCAGGCGGUGCUUUACGUCUACAGAGACAAGGUUAGAAUCAGGCGGUGCUUUACAUCUACAGAGACAAGGUUAGAAUCAGGGGGUGCUUUACAUCUACAGAGACAAGGUUAGAAUCAGGCGGUGCUUUACAUCUACAGAGACAAGGUUAGAAUCAGGGGGUGCUUUACAUCUACAGAGACAAGGUUAGAAUCAGGGGGUGCUUUACAUCUACAGAGACAAGGUUAGAAUCAGGCGGUGCUUUACAUCUACAGAGACAAGGUUAGAAUCAGGGGGUGCUUUACAUCUACAGAGACAAGGUUAGAAUCAGGGGGUGCUUUACAUCUACAGAGACAAGGUUAGAAUCAGGCGGUGCUUUACGUCUACAGAGACAAGGUUAGAAUCAGGCGGUGCUUUACGUCUACAGAGACAAGGUUAGAAUCAGGGGGAUCUGCCGGUGCUUUACGUCUACAGAGACAAGGUUAGAAUCAGGCGGUGCAUUACGUCUACAGAGACAAGGUUAGAAUCAGGCGGUGCUUUACAUCUACAGAGACAAGGUUAGAAUCAGGCGGUGCUUUACAUCUACAGAGACAAGGUUAGAAUCAGGCGGUGCUUUACGUCUACAGAGACAAGGUUAGAAUCAGGCGGUGCCGUACAUCUACAGAGACAAGGUUAGAAUCAGG